rnacentral:lncRNA from 1 species
GCUAAUAGUGGCCAGCGUCAGAACAGACUCUAUGCGCUUCAGAACCAUCAUGAUCAGGAAAGGUUCCCUGGUAUAGAUUCGGGUAUGUUAUGAGUCCUUCAUCUUUAUGAUAUGCAUUGUUAUAUCCUUUGCUUUAAUGUUGAGCUUAUAUGUCAGCAUAAGUCCUGUAUUAGUUUUAGAUCUCAGUCGGUUAAUCAUGACCCAGUUCCUAGUGCCCCGUG